UACGUAGGGACCGAGCGUUGUCCGGAAUCAUUGGGCGUAAAGAGCGUGUAGGCGGCCACUUAAGUCCUGCGUGAAAUCUUGCGGCUCAACCGCAAGCGGUCGUGGGAAACUGGGUGGCUAGAGUGCGGGAGAGGAGAGUGGAAUUCCUGGUGUAGCGGUGAAAUGCGCAGAUAUCAGGAGGAACACCGGUGGCGAAGGCGGGUCUCUGGGCCGAUACUGACGCUGAGGAGCGAAAGCAUGGGGAGCGAACAGG
rnacentral:rRNA from 1 species